rnacentral:rRNA from 1 species
AACGAACGCUGGCGGCAUGCUUAACACAUGCAAGUCGAACGACAGCUCCGGGUUUAGUGUCGCACGGGUGCGUAACCCGGGGGAUCAUGCCCUUAGGCUCGCACUAACUUCCCGAAUAGGGCGGUAAUACCGGAUAUUGUCCUCCGUCCAAAGUUUUAUUGAAUUUGGGUGGGCCCGCGGCGGAUUGCCUAGUUGGCAGGGUAAGAGCGUACCAAGGCGACGAUGCAUAGCUGGUCUGAGAGGCUGAGCAGCCACACUGGGGCUGAGACACGGCCCAGACUCCUACGGGAGGCAGCAGUGGGGGAUAUAGGACAGUGGGCGGAGGCCUGAUCCAGCAAUGCCGCGUAAGUGAUGAAGUCCUGAGGGUUGUAAAGCUCUUUUACCCGGGGUGGUAAUGACAGUACCGGGAGAAUAAGCACCGGCUAACUCCGUG